rnacentral:misc_RNA from 1 species
GGCCUGUGUUGUGAGGGCUCUGCGGACUCAAUUUACUCCUGGGGGACUUAUUUGACUCCGCAUUUUCUUUAAUGGGCACAGAAUUUCCAUCCAUUUCAUCAACUACUGCUUCCUCAUUAAUUCCAUCUGUUACCAUUCCAGGCAUCCUUAUCUUCGCAAAUCAGCAGAAACACUGAAUUCUAGUAAAUUCCCUCAGAACCCAGCCAUGAAGGAAGAUAC